rnacentral:tRNA from 1 species
GACACCGCCCUUUCACGGCGGUAACAGGGGUUCGAAUCCCCUAGGGGACGCCA